rnacentral:rRNA from 1 species
AGGAAUAUUGGUCAAUGGGCGAGAGCCUGAACCAGCCAAGUAGCGUGAAGGAUGACUGCCCUAUGGGUUGUAAACUUCUUUUAUAAAGGAAUAAAGUCGGGUAUGUAUACCCGUUUGCAUGUACUUUAUGAAUAAGGAUCGGCUAACUCCGUGCCAGCAGCCGCGGUAAUACGGAGGAUCCGAGCGUUAUCCGGAUUUAUUGGGUUUAAAGGGAGCGUAGAUGGAUGUUUAAGUCAGUUGUGAAAGUUUGCGGCUCAACCGUAAAAUUGCAGUUGAUACUGGAUAUCUUGAGUGCAGUUGAGGCAGGCGGAAUUCGUGGUGUAGCGGUGAAAUGCUUAGAUAUCACGAAGAACUCCGAUUGCGAAGGCAGCCUGCUAAGCUGCAACUGACAUUGAGGCUCGAAAGUGUGGGUAUCAAACAGGAUUAGAUACCCUGGUAGUCCACACGGUAAACGAUGAAUACUCGCUGUUUGCGAUAUACGGCAAGCGGCCAAGCGAAAGCGUUAAGUAUUCCACCUGGGGAGUACGCCGGCAACGGUGAAACUCAAAGGAAUUGACGGGGGCCCGCACAAGCGGAGGAACAUGUGGUUUAAUUCGAUGAUACGCGAGGAACCUUACCCGGGCUUAAAUUGCAAAUGAAUUAUGGGGAAACCCAUACGCCGCAAGGCAUUUGUGAAGGUGCUGCAUGGUUGUCGUCAGCUCGUGCCGUGAGGUGUCGGCUUAAGUGCCAUAACGAGCGCAACCCUUAUCUUCAGUUACUAACAGGUCAUGCUGAGGACUCUGGAGAGACUGCCGUCGUAAGAUGUGAGGAAGGUGGGGAUGACGUCAAAUCAGCACGGCCCUUACGUCCGGGGCUACACACGUGUUACAAUGGGGGGUACAGAAGGCCGCUACCUGGUGACAGGAUGCCAAUCCCAAAAACCUCUCUCAGUUCGGAUCGAAGUCUGCAACCCGACUUCGUGAAGCUGGAUUCGCUAGUAAUCGCGCAUCAGCCAUGGCGCGGUGAAUACGUUCCCG